GUGUUUGCUUUGGUAGCACAUAAACUAAAAUUGGAACAAUACAGAGAUUAGCAUGGCCCCUGUGUAAAAUGAUACUCAGAUUUAUGAAUCAUUUUGUACUUUU